GAGGGUAUAGCUCAGGGGUAGAGCGCAUGCUUAGCAUGUACGAGAUCUUGGGUUCAAUUCCCAGUACCUCCA
rnacentral:tRNA from 1 species